CGUGCAUGACUUUACCAGUGGUGAUGUGACAGUGUCACUGGUGGGAGGAAAUGAACUUGUAAUCGAAGGGCAAGCAGAGAAGCAGGAAGGAAGCUGUUCGGCGAGGAAAAGCUUCUGUCGCCGCUUUCUGUUGCCUGAGCUUAUUGAGCGAGACGCCAUCAGCUCCGCGUUGUCCUCCGACGGAAUUCUUACUGUUAUCUCGACCAAGAGAGGGAAAUCAGACGAGCACAAGGCAAGCACCAAAGGCUUUUCGAGCGAGAUGAAAAGCCGAGUGGAGAACCAGACAGACAACGGCCACAGCUGGGAGUGAGAAAAGCUGGCCGAGUCUUCGAAAGAAAGCGACGGUUACAGCGUCCGCACGUUCGCCUCCAGUUCCCGCGCUCAACACCAUCAGUCCUACACAAACCAUUUCUAGUAUCACUUUGGAAAAGUCAACUUUGAACUGUAGAUAAGAGAAAUGAUUUAUUUUUAUUGACUUUUCCAUGUUAAUUUUGAUAUGUGAUAUGUGUGGUUUCGUGUGAGAAUGAUGUGGUUUAUAGAAAUGGACGGAUGGCAAGAAUUAUUUAGAUGCCCCAGAGUCAUGAGCAACUGAUAUUGAAGAAAAUGAUCAACAUUCCUCCAAUAAAUCUUUUAUGAAUA
rnacentral:lncRNA from 1 species